rnacentral:rRNA from 1 species
CCUACGGGUGGCUGCAGUGAGGAAUAUUGGUCAAUGGCCUGAAGGCUGAACCAGCCAAGCCGCGUGAGGGAGGAAGGCGCAAAGCGUCGCAGACCUCUUUUGCCGGGGGACAAAAGGCGGUACGGGUCCGGGGCUGAGGGGAACCGGAAGAAAAGCAUCGGCUAACUCCGGGCCAGCAGCCGCGGGAAUUCGGAGGAUGCGAGCGUUAUCCGGAUUCAUUGGGGUUAAAGGGUUCGGAGGCGGGCCUUUAAGCCGGCGGUGAAAUCGCGGGGCUCAACCCCGCCGCGCCGUCGGAACUGGGGGCCUUGAGUGCGGCGGAGGCAUGCGGAAUGCGCGGUGUAGCGGUGAAAUGCAUAGAUAUCGCGCAGAACCCCGAUUGCGAAGGCAGCGUGCCGUGCCGCAACUGACGCUGAGGCACGAAAGCGCGGGGAUCGAACAGGAUUAGAUACCCUUGUAGUC